UACGUAGGGUGCAAGCGUUAAUCGGAAUCACUGGGCGUAAAGCGCACGUAGGCGGCUUGUUAAGUCAGGGGUGAAAUCCUGGAGCUCAACUCCAGAACUGCCUUUGAUACUGGCGAGCUUGAGUCCGGGAGAGGUGAGUGGAACUGCGAGUGUAGAGGUGAAAUUCGUAGAUAUUCGCAAGAACACCAGUGGCGAAGGCGGCUCACUGGCCCGGUACUGACGCUGAGGUGCGAAAGCGUGGGGAGCAAACAGG
rnacentral:rRNA from 1 species